rnacentral:lncRNA from 1 species
UUUCAAUUGAUAGAUACUUUCAUCACCCAAAAAUAAUAUGAUAAUAUGGAAGCUUUGAUUUUGUGGAAAUGAAUGGGUAAAAUAUGGGUGAAGUUUUUUUGUGGGAGGGAUAAAGUAUGGUUUUGAGAUCUGGUGGAAAGAGUAGGUGGUUGGUGACUGAGUGUCCACCUAUGAAGGAAAAGGACAGAUUCAAGGUUAUCAUUGUCUCAGAAGAAAACACCACAAAGUGUGGAAGGGAAAAUGGAUGGAAGGCAUUGAAG